UACGUAGGGAGCAAGCGUUGUCCGGAAUCAUUGGGCGUAAAGCGCGCGUAGGCGGCCCCGUAAGUCCGCUGUGAAAGUCAAAGGCUCAACCUUUGAAAGCCGGUGGAUACUGUGGGGCUAGAGUCCGGAAGAGGCGAGUGGAAUUCCUGGUGUAGCGGUGGAAUGCGCAGAUAUCAGGAGGAACACCGAUGGCGAAGGCAGGUCUCUGGGCCAUAACUGACGCUGAGAAGCGAAAGCAUGGGGAGCGAACAGGA
rnacentral:rRNA from 1 species